rnacentral:rRNA from 1 species
UACGUAGGGGGCAAGCGUUGUCCGGAUUUAUUGGGCGUAAAGAGCGUGUAGGCGGCCAUACAGGUCCGUUGUGAAAACUGGAGGCUUAACCUCCAGACGUCGAUGGAAACCGUAUGGCUAGAGUCCGGAAGAGGAGAGUGGAAUUCCCGGUGUAGCGGUGAAAUGCGCAGAUAUCGGGAAGAACACCCGUGGCUAAGGCGGCUCUCUAGUACGGUACUGACGCUGAGACGCGAAAGCGUGGGGAGCGAACAGG